AUUGAACGCUGGCGGCAGGCUUAACACAUGCAAGUCGAGCGGAGAUGAGGUGCUUGCACCUUAUCUUAGCGGCGGACGGGUGAGUAAUGCUUAGGAAUCUGCCUAUUAGUGGGGGACAACAUUCCGAAAGGAAUGCUAAUACCGCAUACGUCCUACGGGAGAAAGCAGGGGAUCUUCGGACCUUGCGCUAAUAGAUGAGCCUAAGUCGGAUUAGCUAGUUGGUGGGGUAAAGGCCUACCAAGGCGACGAUCUGUAGCGGGUCUGAGAGGAUGAUCCGCCACACUGGGACUGAGACACGGCCCAGACUCCUACGGGAGGCAGCAGUGGGGAAUAUUGGACAAUGGGGGGAACCCUGAUCCAGCCAUGCCGCGUGUGUGAAGAAGGCCUUAUGGUUGUAAAGCACUUUAAGCGAGGAGGAGGCUACCGAGAUUAACACUCUUGGAUAGUGGACGUUACUCGCAGAAUAAGCACCGGCUAACUCUGUGCCAGCCGCCGCAGUAAUAC
rnacentral:rRNA from 1 species